UGAACGCGCACGCAGAUCGGGCUGGCAACGGGAAUCAGGUAGUGACACACACCGCAUACGCUAAAUGAAAAAAACGUUAAAAACAUGCUUCGAAAGCUCGACCCAGUGUCGAAACCUCAGAAUCGAACGGCCCAUCACUAGCCAGGGGUCGUGAGAACAAAGUGGACGCUGGGAGGCGUGGAAUGUCGGGCUGCUUCGCCGGGUCGUGAGCUUCGAAGUUUUGGACAGCGUCCUCUCUUCUCGCACUGUUUGUGACACUUCAAGUGCUCCGUCGGCUCCUGGGAGAGUGGAAAUCGUUGGGAAUGAGUGUAAUCGGCGCCAUCGAAGCACGACUCUGUAAAUUGCCAUGCACGACUACUCACUGUCCUUACUUAAGCGAGAUGAAAGUCAUGUGAUGAAGUCAGGUGCCCCAGCUGUAUCCUGCAGUGCUAAGAAGCUGCCCAGUGAUGGCAUUUGACCUCAACACUUGAGAUCCAGCUGCCAUAAAACCCCGGAAGUCCCAGAAAGAGGCGUCAUUACUGGCUUGAGAAAACCACUAGACCCGGCUCCACUAGCAGCGACAGUUUCCAGAACUUAAUUUAAUUGAAUUCCUGUAUACAGGACAUACACUGAAGAGCAUCUUUUUAUUUUUUGUUUAUUAGCUUUGUCCUCAGACAAUAAUAGGGAUGAACCAGUUGUCACCCCACAAUUUCACUGUCUGCAGUAUGGAAUAACUAAGAAAGAAGGAUAAUUGGAUUGUUGAAAUAAUAAAAAAGUAAAUAGUUUUAUUAUUCUUAAUGGUUAAAAUAAAAAAAAACAAAAAAAACAAACACAAUAGUGUGUUUAGCAAUAUUUCAAUAAGAAAAGAAAAAGGUUGUAACUAUUUACAUCCCUGGCUGAAGGAUAAUUUGUCUGAGUAUCAUGCAUUUGUGUUAAAGAUCUGAACUUAUCACUGGAGACCAGAACAUGUCUUAGCAUGACAUACAUACAGCUCGAGGUCAUUUCAUCUCAAGCACUUGGAGAAAGAGGAUGGCAAACACGUCGAACUGCGAGUUUACCUAGAAAUUGACAAAUUGAAAGCAUCUGUUGUGAACUGGAGUCCGAAAGCACCCAAGUUUUAAAAACCUGCAUAACCACUUCCA